rnacentral:lncRNA from 1 species
UUUAGUAGUUUAAAUAAAUGGUUCAGUUAGAUAAUCCUCUGAUUGCUUGACUGUUGUGAAUUGGUUUUAGUUGUGGAUGUUUUCGUUAUUUAUGCUUGUGAUUGUGGAUCUGAGAUUGGAGUUUAUGGAUUCAUGGUUCUAGUUUUAUGGUUUUUGGUCCGUGGAUUUGCGUAUUUUACGGAUUUAUACAUUGUGGAUUUCUACCCCUCGAGGUAGCUGGUUUUCAAAAUAGAGUUUCCGUGUGGGAAACAGUUUUCAAAAGAUUUCGAAUGGUUUUCAUGAAUGAAAGAAUUAGAUUUUAAAAAUAACGCUUCCGGGUGGGGAGCACUUUUAAAUAAGAUGAUUGUUGUACUGUGCAUUGCAUCAUCCAGCGCCUAAGGAGUGCUUAGAGGCAUGCAUCAUCUCUAAGGAUUAUUAGCUGUAUGAAAAUGCAUAUCAUGAAUUGGUUGUUGAUUGGUAAUUAUAGAUUGUAGUUGAGAUCCUGUUGUAUCGUUGGUACGCCGUGCAAAUACAAGAGAGACUCUGUCCGAGAGGACGGAGGAAAUUUGUAUUUGUGGCGGAUCUGUACAUCGCCUGGG